GACGGGAACUUUCGGCGGGUCUUUCACAUGCAGUCGAGCGGUAAGGCCCUUUCGGGGGUACACGAGCGGCGAACGGGUGAGUAACACGUGGGUGAUCUGCCCUGCACUUCGGGAUAAGCCUGGGAAACUGGGUCUAAUACCGGAUAUGACCAAAGGCUGCAUGGCUUUUGGUGGAAAGGUUUACUGGUGCAGGAUGGGCCCGCGGCCUAUCAGCUUGUUGGUGGGGUAAUGGCCUACCAAGGCGACGACGGGUAGCCGACCUGAGAGGGUGACCGGCCACACUGGGACUGAGACACGGCCCAGACUCCUACGGGAGGCAGCAGUGGGGAAUAUUGCACAAUGGGCGAAAGCCUGAUGCAGCGACGCCGCGUGAGGGAUGACGGCCUUCGGGUUGUAAACCUCUUUCACCAGGGACGAAUUGAAUGUGACGGUACCUGCAAAAAAAGCACCGGCCAACUACGUGCCAGCAGCCGCGGUAAUACGUAGGGUGCGAGCGUUGUCCGGAAUUACUGGGCGUAAAGAGCUCGUAGGCGGUUUGUCGCGUCGUCUGUGAAAACCAGCAGCUCAACUGCUGGCUUGCAGGCGAUACGGGCAGACUUGAGUACUGCAGGGGAGACUGGAAUUCCUGGUGUAGCGGUGAAAUGCGCAGAUAUCAGGAGGAACACCGGUGGCGAAGGCGGGUCUCUGGGCAGUAACUGACGCUGAGGAGCGAAAGCGUGGGUAGCGAACAGGAUUAGAUACCCUGGUAGUCCACGCCGUAAACGGUGGGCGCUAGGUGUGGGUUUCCUUCCACGGGAUCCGUGCCGUAGCUAACGCAUUAAGCGCCCCGCCUGGGGAGUACGGCCGCAAGGCUAAAACUCAAAGGAAUUGACGGGGGCCCGCACAAGCGGCGGAGCAUGUGGAUUAAUUCGAUGCAACGCGAAGAACCUUACCUGGGUUUGACAUAUACCGGAAAGCCGUAGAGAUACGGCCCCCCUUGUGGUCGGUAUACAGGUGGUGCACGGCUGUCGUCAGCUCGU
rnacentral:rRNA from 1 species